rnacentral:antisense_RNA from 1 species
GAAUGCAAGGCAUUGCUCACAUUGCUUCCCGUGUUUACUUAGCCAGCCCAAGUGCUGGCUUUUUUUU